UGCCUUGUUGGUUAAGCGGAUAAACUCUCGGAAUUUGACUCCGACAAUACAGGUUCGAAUCCUGUCAAGGCAU
rnacentral:tRNA from 1 species